rnacentral:rRNA from 1 species
AUUGAACGCUGGCGGCAGGCCUAACACAUGCAAGUCGAGCGAGCGGCGGACGGAUGAGUAAUGUAUGGGGAUCUGCCCGAUAGAGGGGGAUCACUACUGGAAACGGUGUCUAAUACCUCAUACUAUCGGAUGACCCCAUAUGGGAUUAGCUAGUAGGUGGGGUAAAGGCUCACCUAGGCGACGAUCUCUAGCUGGUCUGAGAGGAGGAUCAGCCACACUGGGACGGAGACACGGCCCAGGCUCCUACGGGAGGCAGCAGUGGGGAAUAUUGGACAAUGGGGGCAAGCCUGAUGCAGCCAUGCCGCGUGUAUGGAGGAGGCCUUAGGGUUGUAAAGUACUUUCAGCGGGGAGGCGUUACCCGCAGAAGAAGCACCGGCUAACUCCGUGCCAGCCGCCGCGGUAAUAC